rnacentral:rRNA from 1 species
GGGUUGUGAGGUUAAGCGACUAAGCGUACACGGUGGAUGCCCUGGCAGUCAGAGGCGAUGAAGGACGUGCUAAUCUGCGAUAAGCGUCGGUAAGGUGAUAUGAACCGUUAUAACCGGCGAUUUCCGAAUGGGGAAACCCAGUGUGAUUCGUCACACUAUCAUUAACUGAAUCCAUAGGUUAAUGAGGCGAACCGGGGGAACUGAAACAUCUAAGUACCCCGAGGAAAAGAAAUCAACCGAGAUUCCCCCAGUAGCGGCGAGCGAACGGGGAGGAGCCCAGAGCCUGAAUCAGUGUGUGUGUUAGUGGAAGCGUCUGGAAAGGCGCGCGAUACAGGGUGACAGCCCCGUACACAAAAAUGCACAUGCUGUGAGCUCGAUGAGUAGGGCGGGACACGUGGUAUCCUGUCUGAAUAUGGGGGGACCAUCCUCCAAGGCUAAAUACUCCUGACUGACCGAUAGUGAACCAGUACCGUGAGGGAAAGGCGAAAAGAACCCCGGCGAGGGGAGUGAAAAAGAACCUGAAACCGUGUACGUACAAGCAGUGGGAGCCUCUUUAUGGGGUGACUGCGUACCUUUUGUAUAAUGGGUCAGCGACUUAUAUUCUGUAGCAAGGUUAACCGAAUAGGGGAGCCGAAGGGAAACCGAGUCUUAACUGGGCGUUAAGUUGCAGGGUAUAGACCCGAAACCCGGUGAUCUAGCCAUGGGCAGGUUGAAGGUUGGGUAACACUAACUGGAGGACCGAACCGACUAAUGUUGAAAAAUUAGCGGAUGACUUGUGGCUGGGGGUGAAAGGCCAAUCAAACCGGGAGAUAGCUGGUUCUCCCCGAAAGCUAUUUAGGUAGCGCCUCGUGAAUUCAUCUCCGGGGGUAGAGCACUGUUUCGGCAAGGGGGUCAUCCCGACUUACCAACCCGAUGCAAACUGCGAAUACCGGAGAAUGUUAUCACGGGAGACACACGGCGGGUGCUAACGUCCGUCGUGAAGAGGGAAACAACCCAGACCGCCAGCUAAGGUCCCAAAGUCAUGGUUAAGUGGGAAACGAUGUGGGAAGGCCCAGACAGCCAGGAUGUUGGCUUAGAAGCAGCCAUCAUUUAAAGAAAGCGUAAUAGCUCACUGGUCGAGUCGGCCUGCGCGGAAGAUGUAACGGGGCUAAACCAUGCACCGAAGCUGCGGCAGCGACACUAUGUGUUGUUGGGUAGGGGAGCGUUCUGUAAGCCUGUGAAGGUGUACUGUGAGGUAUGCUGGAGGUAUCAGAAGUGCGAAUGCUGACAUAAGUAACGAUAAAGCGGGUGAAAAGCCCGCUCGCCGGAAGACCAAGGGUUCCUGUCCAACGUUAAUCGGGGCAGGGUGAGUCGACCCCUAAGGCGAGGCCGAAAGGCGUAGUCGAUGGGAAACAGGUUAAUAUUCCUGUACUUGGUGUUACUGCGAAGGGGGGACGGAGAAGGCUAUGUUGGCCGGGCGACGGUUGUCCCGGUUUAAGCGUGUAGGCUGGUUUUCCAGGCAAAUCCGGAAAAUCAAGGCUGAGGCGUGAUGACGAGGCACUACGGUGCUGAAGCAACAAAUGCCCUGCUUCCAGGAAAAGCCUCUAAGCAUCAGGUAACAUCAAAUCGUACCCCAAACCGACACAGGUGGUCAGGUAGAGAAUACCAAGGCGCUUGAGAGAACUCGGGUGAAGGAACUAGGCAAAAUGGUGCCGUAACUUCGGGAGAAGGCACGCUGAUAUGUAGGUGAAGCGACUUGCUCGUGGAGCUGAAAUCAGUCGAAGAUACCAGCUGGCUGCAACUGUUUAUUAAAAACACAGCACUGUGCAAACACGAAAGUGGACGUAUACGGUGUGACGCCUGCCCGGUGCCGGAAGGUUAAUUGAUGGGGUUAGCGCAAGCGAAGCUCUUGAUCGAAGCCCCGGUAAACGGCGGCCGUAACUAUAACGGUCCUAAGGUAGCGAAAUUCCUUGUCGGGUAAGUUCCGACCUGCACGAAUGGCGUAAUGAUGGCCAGGCUGUCUCCACCCGAGACUCAGUGAAAUUGAACUCGCUGUGAAGAUGCAGUGUACCCGCGGCAAGACGGAAAGACCCCGUGAACCUUUACUAUAGCUUGACACUGAACAUUGAGCCUUGAUGUGUAGGAUAGGUGGGAGGCUUUGAAGUGUGGACGCCAGUCUGCAUGGAGCCGACCUUGAAAUACCACCCUUUAAUGUUUGAUGUUCUAACGUUGGCCCCUGAUCGGGGUUGCGGACAGUGUCUGGUGGGUAGUUUGACUGGGGCGGUCUCCUCCUAAAGAGUAACGGAGGAGCACGAAGGUUGGCUAAUCCUGGUCGGACAUCAGGAGGUUAGUGCAAUGGCAUAAGCCAGCUUGACUGCGAGCGUGACGGCGCGAGCAGGUGCGAAAGCAGGUCAUAGUGAUCCGGUGGUUCUGAAUGGAAGGGCCAUCGCUCAACGGAUAAAAGGUACUCCGGGGAUAACAGGCUGAUACCGCCCAAGAGUUCAUAUCGACGGCGGUGUUUGGCACCUCGAUGUCGGCUCAUCACAUCCUGGGGCUGAAGUAGGUCCCAAGGGUAUGGCUGUUCGCCAUUUAAAGUGGUACGCGAGCUGGGUUUAGAACGUCGUGAGACAGUUCGGUCCCUAUCUGCCGUGGGCGCUGGAGAACUGAGGGGGGCUGCUCCUAGUACGAGAGGACCGGAGUGGACGCAUCACUGGUGUUCGGGUUGUCAUGCCAAUGGCACUGCCCGGUAGCUAAAUGCGGAAGAGAUAAGUGCUGAAAGCAUCUAAGCACGAAACUUGCCCCGAGAUGAGUUCUCCCUGACUCCCUGAGAGUCCUGAAGGAACGUUGAAGACGACGACGUUGAUAGGCCGGGUGUGUAAGCGCAGCGAUGCGUUGAGCUAACCGGUACUAAUGAACCGUGAGGCUUAACCUUACAACGCCGAAG